GAGGUCUCCAAGCAUUUUCAAAGGAAGCUAACAUGGCAGAUUGAAAAAUUUCCCGUCUUGAGGCUUCAGUGACUAAGUUUGGAGCCAGCCAGAGGAAUCUCACCAUUAAAUGUCGAGUUGAAGUGAAACACAAUACAUCACCUUCCUCGUGGGCUGCCAUUCAGCCACGAGUAACAGAGAUUAGCCUUCAAUCACACGAGGGCUGGAGCUGAAGGAAACCUUCCCGAGGACACGCUGGAGAAACAUUUUCAUUAGCAGAGGAGAACAUGACGGAGAUGAAGUGGCCCUUCACCUCGGCUGCCAGACCUCUCGCCUGCCUGGUGUUAACAGGAAUGCUAACCAAGGAGCUGGGGCCAGCUGCAGUGCUCUGAGUGCUGUCUGCAUCCAGAUCUAGGGAAUUUGUUUGGAACAUCAGAACAAAUGGCUGCUGGUUUUGAUGCAUUCUCAUGUUAAGUUACCUCUCAUGUCGCCCUCCUCCAUUUCAGAACUGAGAGCAGCCAAAAUGAGAGGAAAACAUGGCUCCUGAGCAAUUUUUCCCCCUAUGAUGCCUUCACCUUUCUUGUAUUCCCUUUUCUCCUACGAUCUCAGCUGGCUGAGUUUCACUGCCAGCCUAUUGAAAGGAAAGGCACGUGCUGGCUUGUGGAGGGAGAGAGACCUGAGACAGGAUAAAUCUGUAUGCAAUGAGAAUGGGGGGAAGCAAGUCAGCUGCUCUGACACUUUUAUUAUGGAGCCAGGCUGCUUGGGGAUGAAUCUUUCUUGAAACGUGUUGCUGGAUGACAUUUCUGCCAGGUCUCAGCAGUAACCUUCACCAAGCCUUGCUGCCCAGCCCUGUGCUUGCCUUUUCCUGGGACAAAGAGAAUGAAUAUCCACUGGAAAUGCCACAGGCAGCAGGGAUCAGUGGGGCUUAAUGCACCUCCAGUGAGUCUGAAGGCACCUGGACUUUCUCAGCAGAAGCUCUUCAGGCUUUGGUGACUUCAGCUUAUUGCUGCAUGUGUUGUUUUGCAAAGGAGGUGUGGGCUCCUACAUCUGUUUCUCACUUCAGAAUCAAAGAUGAUGUGGCAGAGACCAAAAUGAAAUUCUCCUCAGAGCUGUCCAGAAGGAUGGAUAACUGCAAGAAAAUAUUAUUCCAUGGCUCUGGAAAAGGAAUAUCUACUUGCUUAGUAACCUGGAGGUGUGAGAAUCGCCUUUGGGAGCAGCGCUUCCUUCUGCUCCUGCUCUGCCUGACCAAGGAUCAGUUCUCUCUCAUCCAUCAUCAGUUGUGGUGGCUCUUGGACCUACCAAAACCUGGCUGACUUGUUCCUGGUAUCAUGACACAGAAGUUGUUUGCAGCUCCAUAUCUGACUCCGUGGGCUCAAGCUCCAGCUAGAAAACCAAGGACUAAGCUGCUUUCUUGAGCACAGCCUCGUAGAGAAGCAUUUUCAGAAGAAACUCUUGCAAUUGCCACCUCCCUCUCAGCCUCUUCACUGGUUUCUGAGAGCUGCUGAGCAUCCUUGACCUCUCUCUCAGGCAUGGUUCCCUGCAUGUAUCAGCCCUGCUUCGGUGCUGUGGAGCUGUUGCUGGUGUCUGUAAUAGCUGCGUUGUUUACUUCCCAAGUGCCUGGCCUUUCUGUAAUGAGCUGUAAUUCAUCCUGGUUUAUACAGGCUCAGAUAUACCUGGAGCAAGGAGGGUGUGCCAUUAAACCACCUUCUAGACUGCUAUCUGGACCCUGGAUUGCUGAUCCCCUGGAGAUGUAAAACAGGGAGGACAAGGGGGAUCAGAUGGAAAUGGGGAAUAAUUACCUUGCAGGGCAAAGGGGGCUGGCUGGGUUGGAAACUGCUGGGAGCUGACAUGCAGGUGCAGAUGGAUGGUUACGGCAGGCAGGGCGGAGGGAUGAAAGAUGCCUUUUUAAAGCAUCUGCCUCCCUCUCUUCCUCUGCUUUAUAACCUGUUUUUAUAGAGACUGCAUGAGGAACACAUUUUAUUUUAUUAGCAGCUUGGGAGUGGAGAGUAAUAAAGAUUAAUUUUUUUAAAUAAUUCUUUGCA
ensembl:lncRNA